rnacentral:lncRNA from 1 species
GUUGGCCCCGGUGGCCCUGGCUGUGGGGAUUGAUGGGAGCCUCUUCGUCGGUGACUUCAAUUACAUCCGGCGCAUCUUCCCCUCUCGAAAUGUGACCAGUAUCUUGGAGGGAGUUACGAAAUAAAGAGUUUAAACAUAGGUAAGAUGAAG